GAUGAAGAACGCAGCAAAAUGCGAUAAGUAAUGUGAAUUGCAGAAUUCAGUGAAUCAUCGAAUCUUUGAACGCACAUUGCGCCCGCCAGUAUUCUGGCGGGCAUGCCUGUUCGAGCGUCAUUUCAACCCUCAAGCACAGCUUGGUGUUGGGACUCGCGUUAAUUCGCGUUCCUCAAAUUGAUUGGCGGUCACGUCGAGCUUCCAUAGCGUAGUAGUAAAACCCUCGUUACUGGUAAUCGUCGCGGCCACGCCGUUAAACCCCAACUUCUGAAUGUUGACCUCGGAUGAGGUAGGAAUACCCGCUGAACUUAAGCAUAUCAAUAAGCGGAGGA
rnacentral:misc_RNA from 1 species